ensembl:lncRNA novel transcript, antisense to NSMCE4A
CUUUGAUCUGGGGAGGCCAAGGCAGAGGCUCCCAGCCCAGGACUACAGAACACAUCUGUCUUAGGAUAACAGGGCAAGUCACAGCCAUGGGAUUCCUUUUCCUUCUGGAUUCUGCCCUCAUGCAGACUUGGGUUACAGUAAUAGAUGUAAGUCUGCAUCAUGUAGAGAUCAAAGCCCCAAGAAUAAGGCUCAUGUGGUCCCUACCCUUGAGGAGACAAAAAUAUACGAUGUAGAUGGACAGCUGCAUUAUGCACACAGAUCCAUUUCAAUAUAACAUGGUGGGCUACUCUGGGAACACUCCUGCUCCACAAGGAGCAGUAUAAAAAAAUAAAUUAAUCAAAUUUUAAAAAAGCAACAUGGUAGAUCCUGGGCGCUUAGAGAGUACUGCUCAAGUGCUAUGAGAACACUUGGGCAGAGAUAUCUACCCAGACAUGGGAGUGACGUGGUUGAGAAAUCUGAUCCUACACUGCUAACACCUCUGUCUGGAGAAGUUGCUGGAGGCUUCCAAGAUGGGGCCUGUGGGAUAAACAAACUUUACCGAAUGGAAAAGAUGAAAAGGAAUUGGAGGCCAAGAGAACAGCAAGUACAAAGACACAGAGUUUUAAGUACUUCAUUGUGGCUGGAAAUUGGGCUGGAUGAUGAGAUAAAGUUUAAGGCUUUAUCUUUAUAACCUAGGAUUUAUGAGUUUAGUACAAUAGCAAAAAACAAAGAUUUAGACUUUAUCCUAAGAUGAAGAAGUUUGGACUACAUCCUAUUAAAUAGAACAUACACAAAUGGCUCUGGGCACCUGAGUUACCUGAAGUCUUAUUAAAAAUAGAUGCCAGACCCCACACCACACUACUACAUUGGCAUCUCCAAGGCCUUCUACCCGAGCUACUAUCAAUCUCAAUGGUUUUUAGAAAGACAAAUUAGAAAAGACAAAAGCCCAGGAGCUAUACCACUUAAAGAAGGACUGAACAACUCAGAUGGCUACCCUAAAGUAUUUACUGGGCAACAAAACCAGUAUACUUGAAGGUCCUCUUAGAGAAGAGCCAGUAAGAGCUGUUCUUAAUUUCUCCAUAGGACCAUGCCAGGAAGUUAAGACAGAAGCCAACUUCAUUCAAAUAUAAAGAAAUCUUUUUUUUAAAUCAGAGUUCUAUCUAAAAAAUGAACUGGACAGUUUAUGUGGCAGUGACAAGUAAUCUUCAAAUACAAGUCAGUGGUCAUCUAACAGGGUAUUAUAAUAAAUGUCACUUUAGACGUUGGGAGACUCAUAAGAUACCCUCAGUAGGAGGUAUCAUCCUCCUAUAUGAUAAGGAUUUUAAAGAUGAUAAACCCAGAGUCUCAUGAGCUAGAAGCAAAGGAGCCAGGAGAGCACUGGUAAAGAGGUUCUGGCCUUUUCUGCUAAAGCAGAAUGAGAGAUCCUUUAAGGUUCCAUCCACAUCUAGAGUUUAUGGACUUUUUUUUCUUUUUUGAGACAGGGUCUCACUGUCAGCCAGGCCGGAGUGCAAUGGCGCAAUCUCAGCUCACUGCAAUCUCUGCCUCCCAGGCUCAAGUGAUCCUCCCACCUCAGCCUCCCAAGUAGCCAGGACCACAGGCAUGGGCCACUACAGCGGGCUAAUUUUUUGUAUUUUUGGUAGAGAUGGGUUCUCGCCAUGUUGCCCAGGCUGAUCUUGAAUUCCUGAGCUCAGAUGAUCUACCUGCAUCCACCUGCCAAAGUGCCGGGAUUACAGGCAUGAGCCACCACACCCGGCCUAGUGUUUAUGAACUUUCAUAUCAAAGUUUCAAAAGUCUCCAAACAACGGCAUCAUGACUGUCACCUCUACAAUACCAAAUAAUCUUUGUCCCUACAAGAAAAAGCAAUUUAAGGUUCACAAAUAACUGGUCUGUUGGAUUUUUAAAAUAAUCUUACAGAAAGUGGAAUGUAUGGGUUUUAUUAAAGGUGUUUUCUGCUGUUC